AAAGCUCUCAGUGUUUGGUCUGGACAGACCCCGUAGAGACUGAGAGAAAGAGAUGGUUCCUGCCCUUGAUGGGCUCACAGUCUAGUGAGGGCUGCCCACUGAUGCAUCUCCAGGGCUUGUACACUCGAUGACUAUUUGUUGAAUGAAAGAACAAAUGAAGACACUGCAUUAUAAUGUGUAGGUGCCAGAGCAGAAGGACAAAGCCAGUGAGGAGUGAGAUGCCCAGAGGGCAAGGGAGAUGAGGAAGAGCAGGAGCUGAAGAAGUGGCCCAAGGAGAGGACCAGAGCCGUCUGGAAGCAAUGUCUAAACCACCCAUCAGUGGUCCCACAAGUGGUGUUUGGUACUGGAGCAGCCAGUAUAUUCUAGAGCAGCCUCAUAUUCUGGUGAUUUCCUUCUCUGGGGACCAUGGCCAUGGACUUAACAAUGAAGAUGGUUGAGUUGAGAGCAAACAGCUAAAGAAUGAUAGGGGAAAACACUUCUUCCCCACUUCUGAUGUUUCCUUCUGUGUUAAAGAAACUCAAUUUGAUUUCCGGCCUCUCUGCUCCAGGAGAGGUAGAGUGACUUCUCUGAUCUGGAGCUGUGGGAAGAACAAACUGGGCAUGACUGAAUCACAUUCACCCUUCCUCCUCUUGGGGAUGAGCUGCCCUCAGGAAGCAGGUGUUCCUCUUGGUUCUUCUAGGGGAAGGCUUGACCCAUCAAACCCAACUGCCUGCAUCAGGUUGGAGAGGAGAAAACUGAAGUGGAGAGCAGUUAAGGAACAUGCUUGGGGUCCCGUGACCACUGAGUGGAUGAGUCAGAAGUCAACCCCUGCAUUAUCUGCCUCUGGGAGCUCAGCCCUGAGCACGUGGCUACCUGCAGCAAAGCAGAACUGCAUAGGAGCACAGAUGAGUUGAGACCAAGGAUGCUAAUUAGGCUUGGCUCCCUCAGCGUGAUAAAGCAAACUGACCAAUCUACUCUUUGGAAGCAGAAGAUGGGAAAGAGGCCACUUCUGAGAUGACUGUGCACCCAGAGACAGACUCUUGUUUCAUGUAACUUGUCUGUGAAAAUUCCUCUAGAUGAAUGCAGGAGGGAAUCUGGGCAAGUCCUAGAGCAGGAUAGAGAUGUUUGAAAAUCCUUUCAGAGUUAACUUAGACUAAGCAACGUAGAUGCCUCUCCCAUCCGCCCCAUUUCUGCAAAUUUCUGCCAAAAAAUAUGACCCUCUGUCUCACAGAAUUCUUAGUGUGCUGGAAGACUCCAGAAUGAUAUGCAGAGGAAGUAUUGCUGCUUCUCACAGCGGACCAUUCAGAACCUCAUGGACACUUUUCUUUUGAUUAUUUUCUUGUGGAAUUAUUUUUUUUUAUUAAUUUAAUUAUUUUUAUUGCAGUAACAUUGGUUUAUAACACUAUAUAAAUUUUGGGUGUACAUCAUUAUAUUCCGAUUUCUAUGUAGAUUACAUCAUGUUCACCACCCAAAGACUAAUUGCAAUCC
rnacentral:lncRNA from 1 species